ACCAUAUGAUUUCACUCAUGGGUGGAAUUUAAGAAAUAAAACAAAUGAUCAUAGGGGAGAAAAAGGGAGAGGCAAACUAAGAAAGAGACUCUUCACUAUACAGAACAAACUGAUGGUUACCAGAGGGGAGGUGGGGGAUGGGUGAAAUAGGUGAAGGGGA